GGACGGUACAACUAGAGCGCCUAUUGUCCGGUUUUUGUCGUGCCAACGUGCUAUGGAACUUAAGCCUUCCUAGGAGAAUCCAGAUCACUUCGAAACGUCGGCUGUCAUUUUCAACAGAUUUGCGAGGCUACAAACUGGUCACUGUACAUUGGCAGGAAAAAAAUGGCUAUGUAUGGUUCAGUUGUAACACCGGUGUGGUGCAAUGGGGAUGAACAUGGUAACCAAAGGUGUGCAUAAUGUUAUUGAGUUCCUCAGCGAUGAUUCCCCUGACAUGGAUGUGAUCGGAAUCUCUGAUAACUUCUUCUCCGACAUUAACAAACCUGCUGCAAUGAACUGCAUCGAGGGACCUGGCAGUAAUUAAAAGAGAGAUAGAGAACAAGGUGUUGAAAAUGAGUGUGUCUGUGUGUCUGGCUUGGUGGAGCUCAAUAUACUCAAGAACCUCACCGUCUAUGUUGUUGCAGGCUCUCUAGGUCGAUUCAAAUCUCAUGCCAGCAACAUAGUGUUUGAUGUAUUCAUAGCUACUUGCCAAGAUCCAGCCCAAAACAUGGAGAGCUCUCAAAUUGAUGGA